rnacentral:rRNA from 1 species
GACGAACCGUGCAAACGUUGUUCGGAAUCACUGGGCUUAAAGGGCGCGUAGGCGGUCGACCAAGUCCGGGGUGAAAUCUUUCGGCUUAACCGGAAAAGUGCCUUGGAUACUGGCCGGCUGGAGGGAGGUAGGGGCAGGUGGAACUUCCAGUGGAGCGGUGAAAUGCGUAGAGAUUUGGAGGAACACCAGUGGCGAAGGCGACUUUCUGGUCUGUAACUGACACUGAGGCGCGAAAGCGUGGGGAGCGAACAGG